UCUGCCUGCUCCCGCCCUCCGCGCCUUUGAAGUGGGUGCCGCUGCCCCGCCGGCCUCGCACCCCGGUAAUUGCAGCUUCCCUCCAGGGCCGGCUGCAAGUUUCCCUUGGUCUUUUCAGCAGGUUGUUGGAGGAAAUUACAAUGCAGCUCCCAGUAGAAGGAAACACUGGGACCCGAGGGGGCUGCCUGGAAAGAAAGCAAUGAGAAGAGAAGAGUGUGAGUGUGAAAGCAAGUGUUGUAAAUGAAACAUCGGACCCAAUCCAGCAGCAUGUUAAAAGAAAAAUGCACCCUGACCGCUGAGCCUUACUCCAGAUAUGAACCCUGACUAUAUGCACUGAGAUCAACGUAACGUGCUGGCAAAGGAAACAGACAAAGAGAUUAGCAGAAUGGAGGUUAGUGGAAUGGAUCCAAGAGUCUGUAGGAGCCCAAUUCAUCACGCGUGUGGCAGGUGAGGGGGAAAGCAGAGCCACUUCUCCUCACUUCCCUGGAGAGAGCGUCCUUCCCGGGAAGCCCAGGGCGGCCCGCCUGUGGUGUUCGCGUCGGUGGACUCAGUGAAAUAAGCGGAGUUGUCAGCAGGGUCGACGCAGGCCUCCUGUGUGUCGCUGCAGUGGACAAAGGGGAGCAACGGUCUGCCCCCGAGUUAAACGGGGUGUGUCUGCGGAGCGUCUCGGGAGAUUUUCUCUUUUUUCGUUUGGAGGCAGACCCAGGACGGGCUAGUGGGCCGGCCUGAAACUCCAGGGCUGGUGGGGCCUGUGUCUUGCUAACAACUGGGGGUUUUCCCAGCCUGCUUUCCGGGAGUGAAGUCCCGACUCUGUGAGGUUUGGGCAGGCUCUGAACAAACCCCGAAAGAGCUCUGAUCUCUGGUCUUGUGGCAGGGACAUGCUUGUUCUUUACACAUGCGUCUGUCUUAGUGGGUCCUUGGGACACGUCCCCAUGACUUUAGUGCGUGUGACGUGGGGAGAAGGAUUUCCAUGGCAAAUGAGCUCGGAGAGAACUGGGGGAGAAAGCUGUAGGCCCGAUUCCUCGCUGCUGUUGGCUCAGGGGCUUCAGUGUGGGUGUGCUGGUGUGUCCCCCAGGGAGGGGACGUCCUCCCUCUGCUCACUGUGCAUCUCAGAGUGCGUGUGCCCAGGACAUGUGUGGAGAGAGGCUGCUUCCUGUCAGUUAUAUCAUCAUUUAAUUUACAGGGUGUCCCCACGUGCAGGUCUUACAGGGCCGGUCUAUAGAUGUGGAAGUGAAAUUCAGAGCACUUAAGUGGCUUGUCCAGGGUCAUAAGGGGACCAGUCUAGAGAAGGAAAUUCUGACCUUUUUUGUGCAUUUGGUCACAUGUUUCUGUAGUUUUGAAUACAAGCAAGGUUUCCACUGAUUAA